AUGAUGGACUAUAGGACAGGACUGCUGCUGUUAACUCUCUGCUGGGCAGGUGUUGAUGGUCAGACUCUGACAGAAUCUGAACCAGUGGUUAAAAGGCCUGGAGAAUCCCACAGACUGACCUGUACAGGCUCUGGAUUCUCAUUCAGCAACUACGAUAUGCACUGGAUCAGACAGGCUCCUGGAAAAGGACUGGAGUGGAUUGCCUGGCAUGGCACUGAUAGCAGCAAAACCUACUCUCAGUCAGUCCAAGGCCGGUUUACCAUCUCCAGAGACGACAGCAGACAGCAGCUGUAUCUGCAGAUGAACAGUCUGAAGACUGAAGAUUCUGCUGUUUAUUAUUGUGCUGGAGACUCACAGUGACUGGAGUUGGUUGAACAGCUGUACAAAAUCCAUCAAUCCUCAUAUUUCAGCCUGAGUGUUAAGUGUUAUUGUGUUAUAUACAUUACAUAUCAAAUAUUUGAUUUACAUAUGACAUCUUUAAAUAAGAGUAUAUGCUUCACAUCACCCAUACUUUAUUCUUUCACAAGAAAUAUGACUAAACAUUAAACAAGAAAAUCCUAAAAAGGAUAAUUUG